rnacentral:rRNA from 1 species
GGUUAAGCGACUAAGCGUACACGGUGGAUGCCCUGGCAGUCAGAGGCGAUGAAGGACGUGCUAAUCUGCGAUAAGCGCCGGUAAGGUGAUAUGAACCGUUAUAACCGGCGAUUUCCGAAUGGGGAAACCCAGUGUGAUUCGUCACACUAUCAUUAACUGAAUCCAUAGGUUAAUGAGGCGAACCGGGGGAACUGAAACAUCUAAGUACCCCGAGGAAAAGAAAUCAACCGAGAUUCCCCCAGUAGCGGCGAGCGAACGGGGAGGAGCCCAGAGCCUGAAUCAGCAUGUGUGUUAGUGGAAGCGUCUGGAAAGGCGCGCGAUACAGGGUGACAGCCCCGUACACAAAAGCGCAUGUGCUGUGAGCUCGAUGAGUAGGGCGGGACACGUGGUAUCCUGUCUGAAUAUGGGGGGACCAUCCUCCAAGGCUAAAUACUCCUGACUGACCGAUAGUGAACCAGUACCGUGAGGGAAAGGCGAAAAGAACCCCGGCGAGGGGAGUGAAAAAGAACCUGAAACCGUGUACGUACAAGCAGUGGGAGCACCCUUCGGGGUGUGACUGCGUACCUUUUGUAUAAUGGGUCAGCGACUUAUAUUCUGUAGCAAGGUUAACCGAAUAGGGGAGCCGGAGGGAAACCGAGUCUUAACCGGGCGUUAAGUUGCAGGGUAUAGACCCGAAACCCGGUGAUCUAGCCAUGGGCAGGUUGAAGGUUGGGUAACACUAACUGGAGGACCGAACCGACUAAUGUUGAAAAAUUAGCGGAUGACCUGUGGCUGGGGGUGAAAGGCCAAUCAAACCGGGAGAUAGCUGGUUCUCCCCGAAAGCUAUUUAGGUAGCGCCUCGUGAAUUCAUCUCCGGGGGUAGAGCACUGUUUCGGCUAGGGGGCCAUCCCGGCUUACCAACCCGAUGCAAACUGCGAAUACCGGAGAAUGUUAUCACGGGAGACACACGGCGGGUGCUAACGUCCGUCGUGAAGAGGGAAACAACCCAGACCGCCAGCUAAGGUCCCAAAGUCAUGGUUAAGUGGGAAACGAUGUGGGAAGGCCCAGACAGCCAGGAUGUUGGCUUAGAAGCAGCCAUCAUUUAAAGAAAGCGUAAUAGCUCACUGGUCGAGUCGGCCUGCGCGGAAGAUGUAACGGGGCUAAACCAUGCACCGAAGCUGCGGCAGCGACACUGUGUGUUGUUGGGUAGGGGAGCGUUCUGUAAGCCUGUGAAGGUGGCCUGUGAGGGUUGCUGGAGGUAUCAGAAGUGCGAAUGCUGACAUAAGUAACGAUAAAGCGGGUGAAAAGCCCGCUCGCCGGAAGACCAAGGGUUCCUGUCCAACGUUAAUCGGGGCAGGGUGAGUCGACCCCUAAGGCGAGGCCGAAAGGCGUAGUCGAUGGGAAACGGGUUAAUAUUCCCGUACUUGGUGUUACUGCGAAGGGGGACGGAGAAGGCUAUGUUGGCCGGGCGACGGUUGUCCCGGUUUAAGCGUGUAGGUGUGUGUUCCAGGUAAAUCCGGUUCACUUUAACACUGAGGCGUGACGACGAGGCACUACGGUGCUGAAGCAACAAAUGCCCUGCUUCCAGGAAAGCCUCUAAGCAUCAGGUAACAUCAAAUCGUACCCCAAACCGACACAGGUGGUCAGGUAGAGAAUACCAAGGCGCUUGAGAGAACUCGGGUGAAGGAACUAGGCAAAAUGGUGCCGUAACUUCGGGAGAAGGCACGCUGACACGUAGGUGAAGUGAUUUACUCAUGGAGCUGAAGUCAGUCGAAGAUACCAGCUGGCUGCAACUGUUUAUUAAAAACACAGCACUGUGCAAACACGAAAGUGGACGUAUACGGUGUGACGCCUGCCCGGUGCCGGAAGGUUAAUUGAUGGGGUCAGCGCAAGCGAAGCUCCUGAUCGAAGCCCCGGUAAACGGCGGCCGUAACUAUAACGGUCCUAAGGUAGCGAAAUUCCUUGUCGGGUAAGUUCCGACCUGCACGAAUGGCGUAAUGAUGGCCAGGCUGUCUCCACCCGAGACUCAGUGAAAUUGAACUCGCUGUGAAGAUGCAGUGUACCCGCGGCAAGACGGAAAGACCCCGUGAACCUUUACUAUAGCUUGACACUGAACAUUGAGCCUUGAUGUGUAGGAUAGGUGGGAGGCUUUGAAGUGUGGACGCCAGUCUGCAUGGAGCCGACCUUGAAAUACCACCCUUUAAUGUUUGAUGUUCUAACGUGGACCCGUAAUCCGGGUUGCGGACAGUGUCUGGUGGGUAGUUUGACUGGGGCGGUCUCCUCCUAAAGAGUAACGGAGGAGCACGAAGGUUGGCUAAUCCUGGUCGGACAUCAGGAGGUUAGUGCAAUGGCAUAAGCCAGCUUGACUGCGAGCGUGACGGCGCGAGCAGGUGCGAAAGCAGGUCAUAGUGAUCCGGUGGUUCUGAAUGGAAGGGCCAUCGCUCAACGGAUAAAAGGUACUCCGGGGAUAACAGGCUGAUACCGCCCAAGAGUUCAUAUCGACGGCGGUGUUUGGCACCUCGAUGUCGGCUCAUCACAUCCUGGGGCUGAAGUAGGUCCCAAGGGUAUGGCUGUUCGCCAUUUAAAGUGGUACGCGAGCUGGGUUUAGAACGUCGUGAGACAGUUCGGUCCCUAUCUGCCGUGGGCGCUGGAGAACUGAGGGGGGCUGCUCCUAGUACGAGAGGACCGGAGUGGACGCAUCACUGGUGUUCGGGUUGUCAUGCCAAUGGCACUGCCCGGUAGCUAAAUGCGGAAGAGAUAAGUGCUGAAAGCAUCUAAGCACGAAACUUGCCCCGAGAUGAGUUCUCCCUGAGACUUAGAGUCUCCUGAAGGAACGUUGAAGACGACGACGUUGAUAGGCCGGGUGUGUAAGCGCAGCGAUGCGUUGAGCUAACCGGUACUAAUGAACCGUGAGGCUUAACCUU